rnacentral:rRNA from 1 species
GGGAAGACGUGAUGUGGAGUGAAAUAUAGUAACGAAGCCCGUGAGCCAUGCGUCAAGAAAAGCCGCUAUUGUUUAUAUUGUACCCGUACCGUAAACCGACACAGGUGGAUGAGGAGAGAAUCCUAAGGCCGGCGGAAGAAGUAUUGCCAAGGAACUCGGCAAAAUGGCCCCGUAACUUAGGGAGAAGGGGUGCCUGCGAGAGCAGGCCGCAGAGAAUAGGCUCAAGCAACUGUUUAGCAAAACACAGGUCUAUGCGAAACCGAAAGGUGAGGUAUAUGGGCUGACGCCUGCCCGGUGCUGGAAGGUUAAGAGGAGAGGUUAGACGCAAGUCGAAGCUUUGAAUUUAAGCCCCAGUAAACGGCGGCCGUAACAAUAACGGUCCUAAGGUAGCGAAAUUCCUUGUCGGGUAAGUUCCGACCCGCACGAAAGGCGUAAUGAUUUGAGCGCUGUCUCGGCAAUACAUCCGGUGAAAUUGAAGUGCCAGUGAAGAUGCUGGCUGCCCGCGCCAGGACGGAAAGACCCCAUGGAGCUUUACUCCAGUUUGGCACUGGGGUCCGGUGUUGCAUGUACAGGAUAGGUGGGAGGCUGAGAGAUAGUGACGUCAGUUGCUAUGGAGCCGCUGUUGGGAUACCACCCUUGUGAUAUUGGGCUUCUAACCAGCCGCCGUGAACCGGCGGUGGGACAAUGCCAGGCGGGGAGUUUGACUGGGGCGGUCGCCUCCGAAAGGGUAUCGGAGGCGCCCAAAGGUUCCCUCAGAAUGGACGGAAACCAUUCGAAGAGUGCAAAGGCAGAAGGGAGCUUGACUGCGACACCGACGGGUGGAGCAGGUACGAAAGUAGGGCUUAGUGAUCCGGUGGUAUUAAGUGGGAAUGCCAUCGCUCAACGGAUAAAAGCUACCCUGGGAUAACAGGCUUAUCACUCCCAAGAGUUCACAUCGACGGAGUGGUUUGGCACCUCGAUGUCGGCUCAUCGCAUCCUGGGGCUGUAGUAGGUCCCAAGGGUUGGGCUGUUCGCCCAUUAAAGCGGUACGCGAGCUGGGUUCAGAACGUCGCGAGACAGUUCGGUCCCUAUCCGGCGUGGGCGUAGGAUAUCUGAGAGGAGCUGUCCUUAGUACGAGAGGACCGGGAUGGACGGACCGCUGGUGGACCGGUUGGCUUGCCAAAGCCAUGGCCGGGUAGCCAAGUCCGGAAGGGAUAAACGCUGAAGGCAUCUAAGCGUGAAGCCCCCCUCAAGAUGAGAUAUCCCAUUCUUUAAGAAGUAAACCCCCUUGAAGACGACGAGGUAGAUAGGGCAGAGGUGGAAGUGUGGUAACACAUGGAGCUGACUGUUACUAAUCGGGUGAGGGCUUGACC